AUUGAACGCUGGCGGCAGGCCUAACACAUGCAAGUCGAGCGGAUGAAGGGAGCUUGCUCCUGGAUUCAGCGGCGGACGGGUGAGUAAUGCCUAGGAAUCUGCCUGGUAGUGGGGGAUAACGUCCGGAAACGGGCGCUAAUACCGCAUACGUCCUGAUGGAGAAAGUGGGGGAUCUUCGGACCUCACGCUAUCAGAUGAGCCUAGGUCGGGUUAGCUAGUUGGUGGGGUAAAGGCCUACCAAGGCGACGAUCCGUAACUGGUCUGAGAGGAUGAUCAGUCACACUGGAACGGGGACACGGUCCAGGCUCCUACGGGAGGCAGCAGUGGGGAAUAUUGGACAAUGGGGGAAAGCCUGAUCCAGCCAUGCCGCGUGUGUGAAGAAGGUCUUCGGAUUGUAAAGCACUUUAAGUUGGGAGGAAGGGCAGUAAGUUAAUACCUUGCCGUUUUGACGUUACCAACAGAAUAAGCACCGGCUAACUUCGUG
rnacentral:rRNA from 1 species